rnacentral:rRNA from 1 species
GGCUCAGGAUGAACGCUAGCGCAGGCCUAAUACAUGCAAGUCGAACGGUGUACUUCGGACAUAGUGGCGCACGGGUGCGUAACACGUAUGCCAACCUACCUUACAUUGGGGGAUAGCCUUUCGAAAGGAGAUUAAUACCGCAUAAGACAGUAACUUGGCAUCAAGUAGCUGUUAAAGAUUUAUCGAUGUAAGCUGGGCAUGCGACCAAUUAGCUAGUUGGUGAGGUAAUGGCUCACCAAGGCUAUGAUUGGUAGGGGAACUGAGAGGUCAAUCCCCCACACUGGCACUGAGAUACGGGCCAGACUCCUACGGGAGGCAGCAGUAGGGAAUAUUGGGCAAUGGACGCAAGUCUGACCCAGCCAUGCCGCGUGCAGGAUGAAGGCGUUAUGCGUUGUAAACUGCUUUUAUACAGGAAGAAACGACUCUUGCGAGAGGCAUUGACGGUACUGUAUGAAUAAGCACCGGCUAACUCCGUG